CACACAUCCACACGUCUGUAGGCCGAUCUGUAGCUCUGUAGUUCUGUAGCUUUGUAGUUAUGUAGCUUUGUAGCUUUAUAGCUCUUUGUGGUUCUAGCUCGUAGCUUCCUUCUUUAGGCUGCUCGCUCAUUCACUGAUCCGACUGGUUUAAGGUCUCAGACUGGAGUUAAAUCUGUAUUUUAUUAAUCUGGUAUGUAACCACAAUAAGAUUGUUGUUUAGUUUCACAUUGUGCUCGUCGGCUUUUGCGUGCAUCCCCUCGGUCAUAUUUUAUAUAUGAUAUAGUCAUAUUUUCCACCUGGUAGAGAGACUCGUCUGUGUGGCGAGGAAAAAUCUGAACAAGCAGUGUUUUGUCAUCUGUUGCUCUCACAUCAGCGCUCCUCUCUUCUCUUAUUAAUCAUUCUGAGUGUUAAAAGUUUAAUUAAAGGGGCCAGUUUUACAGACCUCAUACGUCACUGUCGUGUUUUAAUGGUAUUUCUAUAGUAAGAUACUUCAAGGAGAAAUUUUUCAAAAUAUUUUCGCACAUUUGUUGGACAUUUUUUCACAUAUUUUACUAAUAAUUUUCUGACAUUUUUCAGAAUUCUUUGGAUAUUUUUCCGAUAUUUUUGGGACAUUUUUCCCUAUUUGUUUUUCACAUAUUCUACAAAUAUUUUUUUUUAUAUUUUAUCACAUAUUUUUCAGACAUAUCUGACAAUUCUUUUCCACACAUUUAACUAAGAAUUUUCAGAAAAUUUUCACUUUUUUUUUUUAUUUUUCAAAUGUGUUUUAGAAAUGUUUCACAUAUUUUUCGGACAUUUUUGCCCAUUUCUGUUCACAUAUUUUACUAAUCAUUUUUUUUAUUUUUUUUUAAAUAUUUUUGACGUAUUUUUCAAACAUUUUCCAAAAUUUUUUGCACAUAUUUUACUAAUACAUUUUCGGAUAUUUUGUUUGUAAGUUUUCUUCUGUAAGCAGCUGUGCUCGGUGUUAUAUUUGUUUUUAUCAGAGGACAGAAGUGUUUUAAUCUGUUAGUGUGUGAUGUUGGCCUGCUGCGAGCUGUACUUCAUAUAUAUAACUGAACCCUGAUACACAGAACUAUCAUGGAUCAGUGCUGAAUAUUGAACCAUGAUGGAUCGGCUGAUACAAUCAGUCCAAUCAUGUCUUUGUAGAGCUGGACUUUGCUUCAUUUAUUGUGUCUUUAUCUCUACGUUAUUGAGCUCUGAUCAGACCCUCCACAGUGUUGGCGUCCCCGGUCGUCUCUGUAGCUGAGGUUGGCGUCCCCGGUCGUCUCUCUGUAGCUGAGGUUGGCGUCCCCGGUCGUCUCUGUAGCUGAUGUUGGCAUCUCCGGUCGAUUCUCUGUAGCUGAGGGUUAUUGUGAAGUCGUGUCAGGCCGCCUGGUUUCGUUUCCCUCUUCCUGCUGGUUUGGUUUCCGUACGCUGCAGCUUCCUCUCAGAGGAAGAAGAAGAAAAUCAUCAGUUCAGGACCGCUCUGCACUUUCACUUUAGAUUCAGACUCAAGCUUCAUCCUCUGUUCUUUGAUCCAGUAUUUGUAGAAACAGUCCAGUUGUCCCCUGGAGGCUGCAGAGUUCAUUACAUCCACAAUGUGAAAGUGUUGGACAGACUGAUGAUGUAUCUGGUGUCAGAGUCUGAACAGCAGCAGAGCUGAACAUGUGAAGUUUGUCCUGAGGGUGGCGCUAGAGGAAAGAUAACAGGGUCUUUAUGAUCUAAAGACUUCAUCCUCUGGUUCUUCAGAUUUCCUUCAUCAUUCCUGUCAAAUGUUCCAGUUUAAAGGUUUAUUCCAAUAUUUUAGUAGAACUUCUUUGGAUCCUUGAGAAGGACCCUGGAGUCCUUGAAGAAGUCCAAAUUAAAUGUAGAUUAGAAGGAAAUUGUCAGUUUAAAAGGUGAAACAUCUUUUUACUGAAGCAGCAUUUUUACCUCUCUCCGUGGAGGUGCUCCAGUCAGAUCUUUGGUUGUUGUACGAUCACUGCGAUUUAUCGGAUCAUUCUGACCUGCUGUGUUUCUGUG